rnacentral:rRNA from 1 species
CGAGCGUUAAUCGGAAUUACUGGGCGUAAAGCGCAUGCAGGUGGUUUGUUAAGUCAGAUGUGAAAGCCCCGGGGCUCAACCUCGGAAUUGCAUUUGAAACUGGCAGACUAGAGUACUGUAGAGGGGGUAGAAUUUCAGGUGUAGCGGUGAAAUGCGUAGAGAUCUGAAGGAAUACCGGUGGCGAAGGCGGCCCCCUGGACAGAUACUGACACUCAGAUGCGAAAGCGUGGGGAGCAAACAGGAUUAGAUACCCCUGGUAG